rnacentral:rRNA from 1 species
AUGAUGGCGGAGGCUCCUGCCUUCACUGCAUCGGUGGAUCACACGGAAUCUCUGGGCACAUGGAGCAUUGCCAAAACCAGCGCCAGGGUGGCACUCGGCUCACUCCCGACGUUGGUUCCACACAAACACAUGGGGAGGGGAACUAUAUGUUACAAUCUGAAAAUGGCUAAGGAGACAUCAGAUAAACACAUGGGGAGGGGAACAGAAUGGAGAGCGGGGCGGUUGGCGGGGAAUCCUUGGCGGUCCAUGGGGAAAUACAAUGUGAAGAAGAGAGUGCGACAUGAGGAAGCCCGUAGCAACGCACGGGCGUUCUACUGGACUGACAUAAAGAAGGAGGUCAAUGAAGCAAAAGGCACGAAAAGGAAGGAGCAGCGCCACAGGGACGAUGUUGGGAAGCAGGGAGGAUGUCAUUCGAAACGCCUGGGUCUAGAGGAGUGUGUCCAGGUGGUGGCCGAGGAUGGCAAUGAGCAAUUGGGUUGGGCAUUUGUCAACGUGAUGGCGUCGUUGCUCAAGGGGACGGCUCAUGCCAUCCACUUCCAAAGCAAUAAGUGUCAAAUCAUAGGAACUUUUAUCACAUAUGCUAAUUUAUCCUUGAUGGCAAAUAAUCCGAACAAAAUAUUUGGAAGUAAUGGAGGCCUCGCCAGAGUAAGGGGGAAAAUUGUGGGAGUGGACGCACAUCAUGUAGACUUGAAAGGAGAAAAUAUUGGCAAAAAUUUACAAUCUGAUGAGGAAGCUGCAAGCGAGGUGCGGCUAGGGCGAGCACGCGAGCCAUGGGAUGCUGGGAAGGAAAACCCGUUCACGUGGCUAGCCUGUCCAGUGCACCCAGAUUGUGGGGCCGCACUCAUCCUCGGCCAUGGGACGCAGCUACCGCCGCCGGCAGAAGGCGAGGUCAAAACCGCCGACGGUGCGGAGCCCAUGUUGCAGCAGCCCAGAUGCCAGCUCCGUCCAGCGCUCGCGAUUGGCACGGCAGCGCGGCGUCUUGCUCGCGCGCGCCGCGCUCAGGCCAGCCAUCUGGCUCGAGCGAAGGCCUGCGCGGCGGCUUGCUCACUCGUGAGUCAUGCCUGGGCCAGCCUGCCAACCCGUGCGGAGGCCAGCGCGGCGUCCGGCCCGUCCGGCGGAGCGGCGGCCAACUCGCUCAUCACCGGCGCCACCGACGAACAUGCAUCAGUAUUGUUUGAAGUAAUGUUCAGGAAAAAUAAUGAUUUGAGGGGGAAUAACAGGAUAGAAGGUCAGAUGUGGGUCCCUUGUGUCAACGGUCAAACAAAAUGUGUUGGUUUAAGCUGCCUCGUCAGCACGAACGGAAGGAGCUGGGGCGGGUCCGCAUGUGGGAGAGAUAGAAAGAGGAGAGUGGUGCACAAGGAGACAAAGUGUGCUUGUUUGCAGUGGGGGUGGUGUGUGAGGAUAAACACAUUUGGAAUUUCAUUUGAAUUGGACCGUAUGAUGAGCCCCUCCCCUUCCCCUCCCCGACCCCCCAACCAUGGCAAGCCACCGAAUCUAGUCCUCCACCGCAGUGGCGGACCUCACACCCCGCCGAAUCUACCUUCCGCACAUUGGAACCCCCAACUGCCAACUCACCACUUCACCGGAGCCGCUUCAGCGACUGGCUUGUCCACCGCUCCAGAUCUCCUUGACCGCCAUCAUGGUCCACCGCACCGGAUCUGCUUAACCGGUGCCCUCCACCACAGCGUAGGCCCUUCACUGACUCCCUCGUCCGCCCCUUCGUUGGCCCUUCAUACAAGCCCUCGUCCGACGCAACAGAUCCGCCUCACCGAAAGCACUAUACAACACGCCCGCCGAAGCCUUCGCCCACUGCAUCGGACCUGCUCCACAGACGCCAUUCAACUCCACCGGCCCUGCUUUACCGACGCCGCAGCCUCAUCAGUUGCCAACCCCAUCAAGCAAAAUAUUUGUUCUUUUGGGGCUGGCACCUCGAAGAAGCAUAAAAAUAGAGGGAAGCAGAUAUAUUGUCGUAUUUGCAACCACGUGAUGCUGACGAUAUCUUCAAAGAACAUUGCAACAGCAGCUAGGCUUCACAGCAACAUAUGUUUGCCAUGCUUGGCAAUAAUUCGUCCGUCGUUUACCAUGACACAAUGUACAACCCCAGAAUCUAUUUGUGGAAGCAGUGCAUCAUCCAUGUUACCAGAUGGUAGCAAUUCAGAGGCAACACCACCGGAGAGCAGUCUGAGCACAGAUAUUAUAGUACUUGAGGCUCUACUAGAGGCAGAAAGAGAUGGUGUGGCUGCCAUGAAUGAGGUAAUCUUUAUCUUGAGGCUGGAAAUUAUGGAAUUAGCGGCACACAUUAUGCAAGCAACCCAAGAAUUGGAGGAAGUAAGAAUGUUGCAUUUGAAGACGGAGGAGGUCCUGCUGUUUCUGCUAUCUGAAGCCCAAGGUAAUCCCGGUUCUUCUUUAGAUACUAGUUGA